AUUGAACGCUGGCGGCAUGCCUAACACAUGCAAGUCGAACGGAGAUAGGGGCAACCUUAUUUCAGUGGCGGACGGGUGAGGAAUGCGUCGGAAUCUGCCCUAUGGUGGGGGAUAACACAGGGAAACUUGUGCUAAUACCGCAUAAUGUCGAGAGACCAAAGCAGGGGACCGCAAGGCCUUGCGCGAUAGGAUGAGCCGACGCCCGAUUAGCUAGUUGGUAGGGUAAAGGCCUACCAAGGCGACGAUCGGUAGCUGGUCUGAGAGGAUGAUCAGCCACACUGGGACUGAGACACGGCCCAGACUCCUACGGGAGGCAGCAGUGGGGAAUAUUGGACAAUGGGCGCAAGCCUGAUCCAGCAAUGCCGCGUGUGUGAAGAAGGCCUGCGGGUUGUAAAGCACUUUUGUUCGGGAAGAAAUCAUGCUGGUUAAUACCUGGUAUGGAUGACGGUACCGAAAGAAUAAGCACCGGCUAACUUCGUGCCAGCA
rnacentral:rRNA from 1 species